ACGCUCGACACCUACGAGAGGCAGCAGUCGGGAAUAUUGCGCAAUGGAGGAAACUCUGACGCAGUGACGCCGCGUAUAGGAAGAAGGUUUUCGGAUUGUAAACUAUUGUCGUUAGGGAAGAAAAAGGACAGUACCUAAGGAGGAAGCUCCGGCUAACUACGUGCAGCAGCCGGCGGUAAUCUGAGGCGGGCUGGCAAGGC
rnacentral:rRNA from 1 species